AAGACUUUUCAGCAUCUGAAGAUUUUCAUUACAUCCAAAGACUUGAGGGUGAAUCGGUGGACAUAGAUUGUGUUGCACAAGCAAGUAAACCCCGCCCAGCGCUUCUGCACCUGAGACGAAGGUUUGCUCCUUCAGAAAGCGUGUUGAACGUCUCUGAAGAUAACGUCAUGAGAGCAGAUCCAGAGAUUGAGGGACGAAUCAGUAUCUCCGGACAGCUGAAGUUACGCACAGUUACUCUGACUCUUUCUCAUUUAAGAGCCACAGACUCGGGGCUUUAUGUCUGCGAUUUCUCAGGAAAUCCAUCAGAUCCGCUCCCGGCGAGCACAGCCCUCUUUCUGCUUGUAAAAGCGCCAGGUGAGUUGUGCUCCUGUAGAAGGUAUUCUCUGCUCAUCUAUACCAUCACAGUAGGAGUGAAUCUGCUCCUACUCUCGGCCAUCGCUCUCUUUGUGACACAUUAUAAAAAGCCACAUGCUCAGCCAGAGCGUCAAACCACAGUUCCAAUUUAUGAAGACAUGUCAAGUGUGAAAGGAAAAGGAAGCAGUCCUCGGAUCUGUCCACCAGACCCCGAAACAUCUGCUCCAGGGUGGAAGACUAUGCUGGAGAACCUCUAUGGAUCCCCCAAUCGGACAAAUGUGGAACAGCAUCAGGAAAAAGAAUCGUCAUAAAAUUCAGCUUAGUUGUGAAUUAAGCUAUGCAGUGUAUUCAUUUCCAGGGUCAUGCUAAAGUUUAUAAGGAAUAGUGCCAUUUGAUGUUUUGGUAUUAUAGAGACUCCUGAGACCCUCACAGAAACCUCUCCUGCCUCGUUCUUUUCAGAAACCGAGAAACAAAAUAAUUGCAACACCGUAAAUGAUGAAAGCAGAAUUAACAUACAGUUUCAUGUUAAAAUAUUAACAUAGUUACAUGUUAUAAUUUUAUAUGCUGAGCCUGGUAAUCUCCAGUCUCAUCCUGCACCGUUAGCUGAACAGUAGAUUAACAUUGGUGGACUUGAACUUGGACUGCGUAUUUGAAACAACAUAGCUACCUUCUGAUGUUCAUUCAUGUUUAUUCCAUGCUAUAAAUAGUAGUAAAAUAUUAAGAGAUAAUCGGUUCAGGUGCCGUUUGAACUGAGGCGCUACAGUGAUCCGUCACAACACAUUAAAGAGCCACAAAACGGUAUUUAUUGUUUGAAUU
rnacentral:lncRNA from 1 species